UACGGAGGGUGCAAGCGUUGUUCGGAAUCAUUGGGCGUAAAGCGCGUGUAGGCGGCUUGGUAAGUCGGGUGUGAAAUCCCGGGGCCCAACCCCGGAACUGCAUUCGAAACUGCCUCGCUAGAGUCCCGGAGAGGAAGGCGGAAUUCCCGGUGUAGAGGUGAAAUUCGUAGAUAUCGGGAGGAACACCAGCGGCGAAGGCGGCCUUCUGGACGGUGACUGACGCUGAGACGCGAAAGCGUGGGGAGCAAACAGGG
rnacentral:rRNA from 1 species